UACGGAGGGAGCUAGCGUUGUUCGGAAUUACUGGGCGUAAAGCGCACGUAGGCGGUUAUUCAAGUCAGAGGUGAAAGCCCGGGGCUCAACUCCGGAACUGCCUUUGAAACUAGAUAGCUUGAAUCCAGGAGAGGUGAGUGGAAUUCCGAGUGUAGAGGUGAAAUUCGUAGAUAUUGGAAGAACACCAGUGGCGAAGGCGGCUCACUGGACUGGUAUUGACGCUGAGGUGCGAAAGCGUGGGGGAGCAAACAGG
rnacentral:rRNA from 1 species